CUACGGGGGGCAGCAGUGGGGAAUAUUGCACAAUGGGGGAAACCCUGAUGCAGCAACGCCGCGUGGAGGAUGACGCAUUUCGGUGUGUAAACUCCUUUUAUAUCCCAAGAUAAUGACGGUAGGAUAUGAAUAAGCACCGGCUAACUCCGUGCCAGCAGCCGCGGUAAUACGGAGGGUGCAAGCGUUACUCGGAAUCACUGGGCGUAAAGGGCGCGUAGGCGGGUUGUCAAGUCUUGAGUGAAAUCCAACGGCUCAACCGUUGAACUGCUUGAGAAACUGGCAGCCUAGAGUAAGGGAGAGGUAGAUGGAAUUGGUGGUGUAGGGGUAAAAUCCGUAGAGAUCACCAGGAAUACCCAUUGCGAAGGCGAUCUGCUGGAACUUUACUGACGCUGAGGCGCGAAAGCGUUGGGAGCAAACAGGAUUAGAUACCCCGGUAGUC
rnacentral:rRNA from 1 species